AGAGUUUGAUCCUGGCUCAGGACGAACGCUGGCGGCGUGCUUAACACAUGCAAGUCGAACGGAAAGGCCCUUCGGGGUACUCGAGUGGCGAACGGGUGAGUAACACGUGGGUGAUCUGCCCUGCACUUUGGGAUAAGCCUGGGAAACUGGGUCUAAUACCGAAUAUGACCAUGCACUUCCUGGUGUGUGGUGGAAAGCUUUUGCGGUGUGGGAUGGGCCCGCGGCCUAUCAGCUUGUUGGUGGGGUAAUGGCCUACCAAGGCGACGACGGGUAGCCGGCCUGAGAGGGUGACCGGCCACACUGGGACUGAGAUACGGCCCAGACUCCUACGGGAGGCAGCAGUGGGGAAUAUUGCACAAUGGGCGCAAGCCUGAUGCAGCGACGCCGCGUGAGGGAUGACGGCCUUCGGGUUGUAAACCUCUUUCGGCACAGACGAAGCGCAAGUGACGGUAUGUGCAGAAGAAGGACCGGCCAACUACGUGCCAGCAGCCGCGGUAAUACGUAGGGUCCGAGCGUUGUCCGGAAUUACUGGGCGUAAAGAGCUCGUAGGUGGUUUGUCGCGUUGUUCGUGAAAACUCACAGCUUAACUGUGGGCGUGCGGGCGAUACGGGCAGACUUGAGUACUGCAGGGGAGACUGGAAUUCCUGGUGUAGCGGUGGAAUGCGCAGAUAUCAGGAGGAACACCGGUGGCGAAGGCGGGUCUCUGGGCAGUAACUGACGCUGAGGAGCGAAAGCGUGGGGAGCGAACAGGAUUAGAUACCCUGGUAGUCC
rnacentral:rRNA from 1 species